GCCGGGGUGGCUUAGUUGGUAGAGCGCCGGACUCAUAGGAAUAUAAUUCUGAGAAAUCCGGAGGUCUCGGGUUCAAUCCCCGAUCCCGGCA
rnacentral:tRNA from 1 species